rnacentral:rRNA from 1 species
GGAUGAAUAUUGGUCAAUGGGCGAGAGCCUGAACCAGCCAAGUAGCGUGCAGGACGACGGCCCUAUGGGUUGUAAACUGCUUUUGUAAGGGAACAAAGUGCGGGACGCGUCCCGUUUUGCGUGUACCUUACGAAUAAGGACCGGCUAAUUCCGUGCCAGCAGCCGCGGUAAUACGGAAGGUCCGGGCGUUAUCCGGAUUUAUUGGGUUUAAAGGGAGCGUAGGCCGAAGGUUAAGCGUGUUGUGAAAUGUAGUCGCUCAACGGGUGCACUGCAGCGCGAACUGGCUUUCUUGAGUGCGCGGAAAGUUGGCGGAAUUCGUGUGUAGCGGUGAAAUGCUUAGAUA